AUUGAACGCUGGCGGCAGGCCUAACACAUGCAAGUCGAACGCGUGGCGGACGGGUGAGUAAUGUCUGUGAAACUGCCUUAUGGAGGGGGAUAACUACUGGAAACGGUAGCUAAUACCGCAUACCUUCCGAUGUUCCCAGAUGGAAUUAGCUAGUAGGUGGGGUAAAGGCUCACCUAGGCGACGAUCCCUAGCUGGUCUGAGAGGAUGACCAGCCACACUGGAACUGAGACACGGUCCAGACUCCUACGGGAGGCAGCAGUGGGGAAUAUUGCACAAUGGGCGAAAGCCUGAUGCAGCCAGGCCGCGUGUAUGAAGAAGGCCUUCGGGUUGUAAAGCACUGUCAGCGGGGAGGCGUUACCCGCAGAAGAAGCACCGGCUAACUCCGUGCCAGCAGCCGCGGUAAUUC
rnacentral:rRNA from 1 species